AGCCACCUGCCACCGCCCGCUUCCCAGCCGCGCCUUAGCAGUACCUCUCCCCGCCGCUCCUCGGCCCAUGGCCGCCUACCCGUACCGCCCGGGCCCCGGCGCCGGCCCUGCCGCGGGCGCCGCGCUACCAGACCAGAGCUUCCUGUGGAACGUCUUCCAGAGGGUUGAUAAGGACAGGAGCGGUGUGAUAUCCGACAACGAGCUUCAGCAAGCACUGUCCAAUGGCACCUGGACUCCGUUUAAUCCAGUGACUGUCAGAUCGAUCAUAUCCAUGUUUGACAGAGAGAACAAGGCCGGCGUGAACUUCAGUGAGUUCACUGGUGUCUGGAAGUACAUCACGGACUGGCAGAACGUCUUCCGCACGUACGACAGGGACAACUCGGGCAUGAUCGACAAGAACGAGCUCAAGCAAGCCCUCUCAGGUUUCGGGUACCGGCUCUCUGACCAGUUUCAUGACAUCCUCAUUCGGAAGUUCGACCGACAAGGCCGGGGGCAGAUCGCCUUCGACGACUUCAUCCAGGGCUGCAUCGUGCUGCAGGUACCACCACCAGAAGGCCCGGGGUGGUGGGCAGUGGGCACCUGAAUCCCCGUGCUUCGGCAGUUGAAGCGAGUCAGACGCAUAAGACUGCCUCUGGAACCUACAGAAAGGUUGACAGAUAUAUUCAGACGCUACGAUACAGACCAGGACGGCUGGAUCCAAGUGUCAUAUGAACAGUAUCUGUCCAUGGUCUUCAGCAUCGUAUGACCCUGCCUUUCUGCAAAUACCAGCGUGACUUAUGGGAAAGAAAAGACUGAAAAUGCCAAAUCUCUUAGCUUUAAUGAAACAGACAUCAAUGCAGUUAGAUACUGUUCUUUCUUUAAAUUUUGUGUAACUACUAUCUGGGGACCCAACUGUAUAUAUGUGGAUAAGCUGGUUAACAUUUCCCACUUGUAACAGUAGUUAUCUUUCCUUAGAUACAGACAUUUGAUAUGAGGCUGUUUAAUUGUGCCAUGAGGUAACAUAAUAAUGUUUCAGGUAUUCUGCUUGCAAAAAACUUAUCAUGUGCUUUUUUAGAUAGCUCUAGUUCUAGAGUGGAAAUACUUUAUUAGCCAAUAGGAACUUUAAAUAAUAUGGAACUUGCACAGAAGGCCACUCACGUGCCUUACUUUUUAAAGGGGGUUUACUGUAUUCACUUGAAUGUGCAGCGUAAGCAAUAAAGCACACGUAUCCUUGUGCCCGUCUGUCUCAGCUGCACUCACCUGGAGCUCCGAGGGGUCCAGCAACCUGGGGUGUCCCCUGGCCCUGGUCAUGGGAGUCCCAAGAUUUGUCCAUCCUCUGUGACAGGAGUUGGUUUACAUUUGGUAAAACUUUGGAAAUACAAAUCCAAGUUUAAUUUGGAAA